CUGGCUCAGGAUGAACGCUGGCGGCGUGCUUAACACAUGCAAGUCGAACGAUGAUCCGGUGCUUGCACCGGGGAUUAGUGGCGAACGGGUGAGUAACACGUGAGUAACCUGCCCUUAACUCUGGGAUAAGCCUGGGAAACUGGGUCUAAUACCGGAUAUGACUCCUCAUCGCAUGGUGGGGGGUGGAAAGCUUUUUGUGGUUUUGGAUGGACUCGCGGCCUAUCAGCUUGUUGGUGAGGUAAUGGCUCACCAAGGCGACGACGGGUAGCCGGCCUGAGAGGGUGACCGGCCACACUGGGACUGAGACACGGCCCAGACUCCUACGGGAGGCAGCAGUGGGGAAUAUUGCACAAUGGGCGCAAGCCUGAUGCAGCGACGCCGCGUGAGGGAUGACGGCCUUCGGGUUGUAAACCU
rnacentral:rRNA from 1 species